rnacentral:rRNA from 1 species
CUGUGGGUAGGGGUGAAAGGCCAAUCAAACUCCGUGAUAGCUGGUUCUCCCCGAAAUGCAUUUAGGUGCAGCGUUGCGUGGUCCCUGGUGGAGGUAGAGCUACUGGAUGGCCGAUGGGCCCUGUGGGUUACUGACGUCAGCCAAACUCCGAAUGCCAUUAGGUGUAGCGUGGCAGUGAGACUGCGGGGGAUAAGCUUCGUAGUCGAGAGGGAAACAGCCCAGAUCAUCAGCUAAGGCCCCUAAGCGUACGCUAAGUGGGAAAGGAUGUGGAGUCGCGGUGACAACCAGGAGGUUGGCUUAGAAGCAGCCAUCCUUGAAAGAGUGCGUAAUAGCUCACUGGUCAAGUGGUUCUGCGCCGACAAUGUAGCGGGGCUCAAGCGUACCGCCGAAGCUGUGGCAACAACACGCAAAGCUGGCGCCAGGAACUGGAGUGCUGGUGUGUUGUUGGGUAGGGGAGCGUCCUGCACGAGGUGAAGCCUGGAGGGAACUUCUGGUGGAUUGUGUGGGAGUGAGAAUGCAGGCAUGAGUAACGAAUCUGCGGUGAGAAUCCGCAGCGCCGAUUGACUAAGGGUUCCAGGGCUAGGUUUAUCCGCCCUGGGUUAGUCGGGUCCUAAGGCGAGGCCGACAGGCGUAGUCGAUGGACAACCAGUUGAUAUUCUGGUACCGCGUUGUGACCGCCCAUGCUGAAGUCAUUGUGCUAACCAAUUUGCCUGCCGCCUGCUGGGCCUUCGGGUUUGGUGGUGUGUGUGGGUCUUGGGGUCCCGGUGAUUGUAGGCAAGCGUGUUAACAGGGGUGACGCAGACAGGUAGCUGCAGUGCGCCGAUGGUUGUGCGUAUUUAAGGUUGUGGCCCGUUCCUCAGGUAAAUCCGGGGGACACGUGGGUGAGAACUGAUGAGGGACACACGCGUGUGUGGACUUGUGGUGAUCCUAAGCUGCCGAGAAAAGCCUCGACGUGAGGGCAUGACGCGCCCGUACCCUAAACCGACUCAGGUGGUCAGGUAGAGUAUACCGAGGCGUUCGAGUGAAUCGUGGUUAAGGAACUCGGCAAAAUUCCUCCGUAACUUCGGGAUAAGGAGGACCCCGUGACUUCCCAAUGCUUUGCGUGUUGGUGGGGUUGUGGGGUCGCAGAGAAUAGGGAGAAGCGACUGUUUAUCAAAAACACAGGUGCGUGCGAAGCCGUAAGGCGAUGUAUACGCACUGACGCCUGCCCGGUGCUGGAAGGUUAAGAGGAACCGUCAACACUCCUUGUGGGUGUGAAGCGGUGAAUUUAAGCCCCAGUAAACGGCGGUGGUAACUAUAACCAUCCUAAGGUAGCGAAAUUCCUUGUCGGGUAAGUUCCGACCUGCACGAAUGGCGUAACGACUUCUCCGCUGUCUCAACCGCGAACUCGGUGAAAUUGCAGUACGAGUAAAGAUGCUCGUUUCGCGCAGAAGGACGGAAAGACCCCGGGACCUUUACUAUAGCUUGGUAUUGGUGUUCGCUUGGACUUGUGUAGGAUAGGUGGGAGACUGUGAAGCUGCCGCGCCAGCGGUGGUGGAGUCGUCGUUGAAAUACCAUUCUGGUUCAAGCGGUCACCUCAACCUUGGCCCGUGAUCCGGGUUGGGGACAGUGCCUGGUGGGUAGUUUAACUGGGGCGGUUGCCUCCUAAAAUGUAACGGAGGCGCUCAAAGGUUCCCUCAGCCUGGUUGGUAAUCAGGUGGCGAGUGCAAGUGUACAAGGGAGCUUGACUGUGAGACCGACGGGUCGAGCAGGUGCGAAAGCAGGAACUAGUGAUCCGGCCAUGGCACGUGGGUGCGUGGUCGCUCAACGGAUAAAAGGUACCCCGGGGAUAACAGGCUGAUCUUGCCCAAGAGUCCAUAUCGACGGCAUGGUUUGGCACCUCGAUGUCGGCUCGUCGCAUCCUGGGGCUGGAG